rnacentral:rRNA from 1 species
UACGUAGGCAGCGAGCGUUGUUCGGAGUUACUGGGCGUAAAGGGUGUGUAGGCGGUUGUUUAAGUUUGGUGUGAAAUCUCCCGGCUCAACUGGGAGGGUGCGCCGAAUACUGAAUGACUUGGAGUGCGGGAGAGGAAAGUGGAAUUCCUGGUGUAGCGGUGAAAUGCGUAGAUAUCAGGAGGAACACCGGUGGUGUAGACGGCUUUCUGGACCGUAACUGACGCUGAGACACGAAAGACGUGGGUAGCAAACAGG